GGAAGACAAGCUCCAGUCUGAUACCAAGAAGGAAGAGGAGAAAAUUAUUCUACAUCAGGUUAUCGUCCUUCACAGCUGCAACAUGAAGAUUCUCAUGUCUUUGUUAGUUUUUGCCCUGAUGGGUCUGAGCAGAGCUGCAGCUUUUCCACCAGCAGCAAAUCAUCAUCGACCAGGGGGUCCUUUUAGACCAAGUGAGUGUUCACUAAAUAUCUACAGGUCUCAUAACUUCUUCCAUCACUGCUAACUAGUGUGCUAAACUUUCCAUCCAGGUCUUCCACCAGCAGAAGAUCAAGGCCAGCCAGAGGGAUCUUUUAGACCAA
rnacentral:lncRNA from 1 species